UGGGGAAUUGUUCACAAUGGGCGCAAGCCUGAUGACGCAACGCCGCGUGGGGGAUGAAGGUCUUCGGAUUGUAAACCCCUGUCGAAUGGGACGAAUGAAUCGUGCACUAACACUGCGCGGAAAUGACGGUACCGUUAAAGGAAGCCACGGCUAACUCUGUGCCAGCAGCCGCGGUAAUACAGAGGUGGCAAGCGUUGUUCGGAAUUACUGGGCGUAAAGGGCGAGUAGGUGGCCAUCUAAGUCAGACGUGAAAUCCCCCGGCUUAACCUGGGAACUGCGUCUGAUACUGGACGGCUUGAGUAUGGGAGAGGGAUGUAGAAUUCCAGGUGUAGCGGUGAAAUGCGUAGAUAUCUGGAGGAAUACCGGUGGCGAAGGCGGCAUCCUGGACCAUUACUGACGCUGAGGCGCGAAAGCUAGGGGAGCAAACGGGAUUAGAUACC
rnacentral:rRNA from 1 species